UACAGAGGUCUCAAGCGUUGUUCGGAUUCAUUGGGCGUAAAGGGUGCGUAGGUGGCAUGGUAAGUCGGAUGUGAAAUCCCGGGGCUCAACCCCGGAACUGCAUUCGAUACUGCUGAGCUAGAGUACUGGAGAGGAGAUUGGAAUUUACGGUGUAGCAGUGAAAUGCGUAGAUAUCGGGAGGAACACCUGUGGCGAAAGCGGCUCACUGGACCACAACUGACGCUGAGGCGCGAAAGCUAGGGGAGCAAACAGG
rnacentral:rRNA from 1 species